rnacentral:rRNA from 1 species
GAUGAACGCUGGCGGCGUGCCUAAUACAUGCAAGUCGAGCGAACGGGCGAGAAGCUUGCUUCUCUGAUGUUAGCGGCGGACGGGUGAGUAACACGUGGAUAACCUACCUAUAAGACUGGGAUAACUUCGGGAAACCGGAGCUAAUACCGGAUAAUAUUUUGAACCGCAUGGUUCAAAAGUGAAAGACGGUCUUGCUGUCACUUAUAGAUGGAUCCGCGCUGCAUUAGCUAGUUGGUAAGGUAACGGCUUACCAAGGCAACGAUGCAUAGCCGACCUGAGAGGGUGAUCGGCCACACUGGAACUGAGACACGGUCCAGACUCCUACGGGAGGCAGCAGUAGGGAAUCUUCCGCAAUGGGCGAAAGCCUGACCGAGCAACGCCGCGUGAGUGAUGAAGGUCUUCCGAUCGUAAAACUCUGUUAUUAGGGAAGAACAUAUGUGUAAGUAACUGUGCACAUCUUGACGGUACCUAAUCAGAAAGCCACGGCUAACUACGUGCCAGCAGCCGCGGUAAUACGUAGGUGGCAAGCGUUAUCCGGAAUUAUUGGGCGUAAAGCGCGCGUACGCGGUUUUUUAAGUCUGAUGUGAAAGCCCACGGCUCAUCCGUGGAGGGUCAUUGGAAACUGGAAAACUUGAGUGCAGAAGAGGAAAGUGGAAUUCCAUGUGUAGCGGUGAAAUGCGCAGAGAUAUGGAGGAACACCAGUGGCGAAGGCGACUUUCUGGUCUGUAACUGACGCUGAUGUGCGAAAGCGUGGGGAUCAAACAGGAUUAGAUACCCUGGUAGUCCACGCCGUAAACGAUGAGUGCUAAGUGUUAGGGGGUUUCCGCCCCUUAGUGCUGCAGCUAACGCAUUAAUCACUCCGCCUGGGGAGUACGACCGCAAGGUUGAAACUCAAAGGAAUUGACGGGGACCCGCACAAGCGGUGGAGCAUGUGGUUUAAUUCGAAGCAACGCGAAGAACCUUACCAAAUCUUGAUAUCCUUUGACAACUCUAGAGAUAGAGCUUUCCCCUUCGGGGGACAAAGUGACAGGUGGUGCAUGGUUGUCGUCAGCCUCGUGUCGUGAGAUGUUGGGUUAAGUCCCGCAACGAGCGCAACCCUUAAGCUUAGUUGCCAUCAUUAAGUUGGGCACUCUAAGUUGACUGCCGGUGACAAACCGGAGGAAGGUGGGGAUGACGUCAAAUCAUCAUGCCCCUUAUGAUUUGGGCUACACACGUGCUACAAUGGACAAUACAAAGGGCAGCGAAACCGUGAGGUCAAGCAAAUCCCAUAAAGUUGUUCUCAGUUCGGAUUGUAGUCUGCAACUCGACUACAUGAAGCUGGAAUCGCUAGUAAUCGUAGAUCAGCAUGCUACGGUGAAUACGUUCCCGGGUCU